AGUUUGAUCAUGGCUCAGAUUGAACGCUGGCGGCAGGCCUAACACAUGCAAGUCGAACGGUAACAGGAAGCAGCUUGCUGCUUUGCUGACGAGUGGCGGACGGGUGAGUAAUGUCUGGGAAACUGCCUGAUGGAGGGGGAUAACUACUGGAAACGGUAGCUAAUACCGCAUAACGUCGCAAGACCAAAGAGGGGGACCUUCGGGCCUCUUGCCAUCGGAUGUGCCCAGAUGGGAUUAGCUAGUAGGUGGGGUAACGGCUCACCUAGGCGACGAUCCCUAGCUGGUCUGAGAGGAUGACCAGCCACACUGGAACUGAGACACGGUCCAGACUCCUACGGGAGGCAGCAGUGGGGAAUAUUGCACAAUGGGCGCAAGCCUGAUGCAGCCAUGCCGCGUGUAUGAAGAAGGCCUUCGGGUUGUAAAGUACUUUCAGCGGGGAGGAAGGGAGUAAAGUUAAUACCUUUGCUCAUUGACGUUACCCGCAGAAGAAGCACCGGCUAACUCCGUGCCAGCAGCCGCGGUAAUACGGAGGGUGCAAGCGUUAAUCGGAAUUACUGGGCGUAAAGCGCACGCAGGCGGUUUGUUAAGUCAGAUGUGAAAUCCCCGGGCUCAACCUGGGAACUGCAUCUGAUACUGGCAAGCUUGAGUCUCGUAGAGGGGGGUAGAAUUCCAGGUGUAGCGGUGAAAUGCGUAGAGAUCUGGAGGAAUACCGGUGGCGAAGGCGGCCCCCUGGACGAAGACUGACGCUCAGGUGCGAAAGCGUGGGGAGCAAACAGGAUUAGAUACCCUGGUAGUCCACGCCGUAAACGAUGUCGACUUGGAGGUUGUGCCCUUGAGGCGUGGCUUCCGGAGCUAACGCGUUAAGUCGACCGCCUGGGGAGUACGGCCGCAAGGUUAAAACUCAAAUGAAUUGACGGGGGCCCGCACAAGCGGUGGAGCAUGUGGUUUAAUUCGAUGCAACGCGAAGAACCUUACCUGGUCUUGACAUCCACAGAACUUUCCAGAGAUGGAUUGGUGCCUUCGGGAACUGUGAGACAGGUGCUGCAUGGCUGUCGUCAGCUCGUGUUGUGAAAUGUUGGGUUAAGUCCCGCAACGAGCGCAACCCUUAUCCUUUGUUGCCAGCGGUCCGGCCGGGAACUCAAAGGAGACUGCCAGUGAUAAACUGGAGGAAGGUGGGGAUGACGUCAAGUCAUCAUGGCCCUUACGACCAGGGCUACACACGUGCUACAAUGGCGCAUACAAAGAGAAGCGACCUCGCGAGAGCAAGCGGACCUCAUAAAGUGCGUCGUAGUCCGGAUUGGAGUCUGCAACUCGACUCCAUGAAGUCGGAAUCGCUAGUAAUCGUGGAUCAGAAUGCCACGGUGAAUACGUUCCCGGGCCUUGUACACACCGCCCGUCACACCAUGGGAGUGGGUUGCAAAAGAAGUAGGUAGCUUAACCUUCGGGAGGGCGCUUACCACUUUGUGAUUCAUGACUGGGGUGAAGUCGUAACAAGGUAACCGUAGGGGAACCUGCGGUUGGAUCACCUCCUUACCUUAAAGAAGC
rnacentral:rRNA from 1 species